UACGGAGGGGGCUAGCGUUGUUCGGAAUUACUGGGCGUAAAGCGCGCGUAGGCGGCUUUGCAAGUCAGAGGUGAAAGCCCGGGGCUCAACCCCGGAAUUGCCUUUGAGACUGCAUCGCUAGAACGUCGGAGAGGUAAGUGGAAUUCCGAGUGUAGAGGUGAAAUUCGUAGAUAUUCGGAAGAACACCAGUGGCGAAGGCGACUUACUGGACGACUGUUGACGCUGAGGUGCGAAAGCGUGGGGAGCGAACAGG
rnacentral:rRNA from 1 species